ACCUUUUCCUUCUUUGAUUAAGGAUGCAACUUUCUCUAAAUGCUUGGAAGAGUCGACGUGUUUAACAGUGUUUUUCACCAUUGUCGAAUUUCUGAGAACAACCAAAGCAAGCCAAUAAUCGAUUUACCUUAAAAAUCCCAACUCAAACUCUUUCAAAAAUUGGAUCACUUAAAAUUCUCAGAUAUGAACAAAUCAAUAUGUUAAUGCACAAAGUUUGUGGGUACGCCAAAUUUCCAUUAUUAUUUACUCGUUGAAAAUAUCAAACGCCAUUACCGAUGCUCCAUUAAACUGCAUUAUACUGUUUAAAAGGCUAUUGUAUUCGACUUUAGUACUCGUUAUUUGGUAAACAUUUAGAGCCAUCUUUUUCAAUUAAGAGUUUCUGGAUGUCGUUGAAAAAAUGAGAUACGGGGUAAUCAGAAAUUAUGAUUAAUCAACUUUCGGCUCACUUGAUUAGAUUCAGCAACGAUAACUCUUGACUUUCUGGUUUUACUUAUUGGGUUGGUCACACCAGUUUGACAUAUUAGGUGUCAAAGUUUUUUAUAAGUUUAUCAUUAGUUAACUAUUUUUUAUCUUUAUAAUCAGUGUCAUGUACGACUAUAAAUGUACGAUUAAAGAAUCAUCGUCGGGAAAGAAAUAAUGAAUUUGAGAGAACAAUCCAA